GCCGGGCGCAGUGGUGCAUGCCUGUAAUCCCAGCAGCUCAGGAGGCUGAGGCAGGAGGAUCAUGAGUUCAAAGCUAGCCUCAGCAAAAGCGAAGUAACUCACUGAGACUCUGUCUGUA
rnacentral:sRNA from 1 species